rnacentral:tRNA from 6 species
GGAGAGUUGACAGAGCGGUUGAAUGUACCGGUCUUGAAAACCGGCGUGGUUUAACGACCACCCAGGGUUCGAAUCCCUGACUCUCCGCCA